rnacentral:rRNA from 1 species
AGAGUUUGAUCAUGGCUCAGAUUGAACGCUGGCGGCAGGCCUAACACAUGCAAGUCGAGCGGUAGCACAGGAGAGCUUGCUCUCCGGGUGACGAGCGGCGGACGGGUGAGUAAUGUCUGGGAAACUGCCUGAUGGAGGGGGAUAACUACUGGAAACGGUAGCUAAUACCGCAUAACGUCUUCGGACCAAAGAGGGGGACCUUCGGGCCUCUUGCCAUCAGAUGUGCCCAGAUGGGAUUAGCUAGUAGGUGGGGUAAUGGCUCACCUAGGCGACGAUCCCUAGCUGGUCUGAGAGGAUGACCAGCCACACUGGAACUGAGACACGGUCCAGACUCCUACGGGAGGCAGCAGUGGGGAAUAUUGCACAAUGGGCGCAAGCCUGAUGCAGCCAUGCCGCGUGUAUGAAGAAGGCCUUCGGGUUGUAAAGUACUUUCAGCGAGGAGGAAGGCAUUGUGGUUAAUAACCGCAGUGAUUGACGUUACUCGCAGAAGAAGCACCGGCUAACUCCGUGCCAGCAGCCGCGGUAAUACGGAGGGUGCAAGCGUUAAUCGGAAUUACUGGGCGUAAAGCGCACGCAGGCGGUCUGUCAAGUCGGAUGUGAAAUCCCCGGGCUCAACCUGGGAACUGCAUUCGAAACUGGCAGGCUAGAGUCUUGUAGAGGGGGGUAGAAUUCCAGGUGUAGCGGUGAAAUGCGUAGAGAUCUGGAGGAAUACCGGUGGCGAAGGCGGCCCCCUGGACAAAGACUGACGCUCAGGUGCGAAAGCGUGGGGAGCAAACAGGAUUAGAUACCCUAGUAGUCC